UCCAUUUCUUUUUAUGAAUGAAAAUGAUAAGUUGAAUCUCUUCUAAAAGUCUAUCAAUUCUCUCAGGCUGGAGGGUGUGGGGGCGCCACCCCCGCCACCUCACCAUGUAUAGCGCCCAUAUGGGCGAUGGAGCACCACACCCUUCAAGUGAAGAGGGGGGCGCCAUGGCUUGGGCUCCAUGGUGGUAACGCCAAAGUUGAAGCAUUCAGGAGGGGUCUGUUGUCCCUGAUUCUUACAAUGGGAGAGUAAAUGAUGAUCACCCGAAGGAGAUCGUUUCCGGCUUUCAUUCCCAUCACAAGGAAUCGUUGUUGCCAGACCUGAACGAGGUACAUGGAAGAGACUAGCCAUACUUCUUUAAACAACGGCUGAGCUUUAUGUAACAUAGGACCUAUGAGAACUUACUUCGUGUAGUUUACACUUCUCUUUUCAGUUUAUUAUUAUUGCUGUAAAUAUCUUAGAUUUGAAAAGGGUCUUGUAUGUUGUUUAGAUGAAAUAUUUUAGUAAGUAAUUCAUCUCUCACAAAAGAAUUUACCUGAUUCAUGUCUGCGGGAUAAUGAUCGAUGAGUUUCUUAAUUGAUAUCUGUAAAGUUUCUUUCCGAAACUCGAUAUCGAUCUCCGUUCAACAGAUGCUUUAAGACUUCUCUUUAGUUGUUCAUUGACUUGGAUGAUAAUAUAAAAGGGAUGGGACAUUAAAAUUUGUUACUGAAGAUCAUAAAGGGAAAAAUUGGUCUGGUGUAAGACAAAUGUCGGAUUCUGUAAUGCUAAAGACCAAUUCAACUGCUCUUUUAGUAGUAUGUUUCGCUGGGUAUGCUCAAGAUGCUUGAAAGUUAUCAUAAUUGCACAUGACUCUCGAUGAAUAGUACUACAUGUGCAGUGGAUGGAAAAUGAAGGAAAUUGGCUUUCAUGGUUCCAAAGAAUGUGCAUGGUGAAGUGUAUAAGUGGCACAAAAUGCUUUCCAGAAUCCGACAUAGGUUUGGAAUCCAUGAUGAUGAUAAUAUAUGAAAUACAGAGGCUGACCAUAAGGAUCUUCAUCUUAAGGUGGGUCUUUUCAAAGAAUUGCUUUCAUUCAAGGGUAAAUUAGACAAUGCAAACUCCUAAAACAAGAGCUUUAUUGGAAGAACCGAGAUGAGAGGGGUUUUGAACUAAAGUAUACGGAUACAACCAUGUAUACUACAACUCUGAAGUGUGCAGCCGAACAAAUGCAAAUAUCAAAAUCAAUGAUGUUCCUAUCAGAAUAAAUGGAAACCACUUUUGAUCGAAUUAUGGUUUGAUUCGGUGAUCAAAGAACGCUAAGGAAAUGGCAUUUUCGUUGAUAGCGUGAUUUGUUGUCUAGCAGUCAGCUCACAAUUGGUAAGAAGUUCACGCCUUUAUUACCUAAUUUCAGAGAUAAAGAUUGAAGACAGGUGUGUUAUUACUCAUGUUCAAGAUAACAUCAUUUGUGUCUUCCUCUCUUCUUGCGCACAUGAACACGAAAGAGGUUAUCUUGAACAUGAGUAAUAACACAUUUAGGGUUGACUGUGAUGGUGAAUAAAAAUGACUGGAAAGUGCAAUUCUCUUUUUCUUUCAAGAUGAAGCUAUGAUGAUUUUGUAGAUCUGAGUAAAAACAUGUUGAAUGAAGAUAGCAUCAUGGCAUGGUAAGGUUGUAGGAUGGCAGUUGUUCAUGCAACCUCUCUUGCAGCCAUGGUGUUGUCAUCUUGAUGCACAAUCUGAGCCUGGCAUUCUGACAAUGGUGUUGGUCAAUUAGACCAACUCCACGUGAUGUUGCUUCCCGCUGAAUCGAUAGAACUGGUGUAAGGGUUUCGAUGACCUUCAAUCGUCGAUGAUUUACAAACCCAAUGCGACUGAUUAAAUAUUUAGUUUUCAACAUAUGGGCUUGGGCUUUUGAGACAGUUUUAAUAAACAGGUCUUGGGCUUGGACCAGAUUUAUAAACAAAGAAUAUUUGUCUUAGUAAAAAUGAAUGCAAAGUGCAAUUUUCUUUUUAUUUCAAGAUGAGGCUAUGAUGAUUUUGUAGAUGUGAGUAAAAAUUGAAUGAAGAUAGCAUCAUGGCAUGGCAAGUUUGUAGGAUGGCAGUUGUUCAUCCAACCUCUCUUGCAGCCAUGGUGUUGUCAUCUUUAUGCACAAUCUGAGCCUGGUGUUCUGACAAUGGUAUUGGUGAAUUAGACACACUAUUCCGUAAAAAACCCCAUCAGAAUCUAUUUGAUCAUCAACUACACUAUUCACAGAUUCUGAUAAACGGUUAGAAGUGGCUGUUAAACAGUUGAGCCAAACAGGAUUACAGGUAAGUUUUGUAAGAAAAUUGCUUGACUUUUGAUCUUUUGACUUUUAUAUGUCAACUGUAAUACUUUAAUUUAAAAAUGGUUUUUGAAAGUUCUGGUUCUUGAUAAAAUUCUGUUCCAAAUUAUGUUGAAUUAUAAUUCAACGUUAUUUUGGAACUAAAGAUGAAAUGACAUGUGAGUAGAUUCUGAAUUUGGAAGUAGUGGUUUUGACUUAUUAAGUCAAAAGUGGUUUUGACUUAUUAAGUCAAAAGUGGUUUUGACUUAUUAAGUCAAAAGUGGUUUUGACUUAUUAAGUCAAAAGUGGUUUUGACUUAUAAUUAUGACUUAAAACAUUUUCUGAAAACAGUUGUUUUCAUGAUCAUAACUCUAACAAAAUCUUUUCAUUGAUUCAGGUUUUAAUUUUUGUAUUGAGUUGGAGCCGGAUAGGUGGCUUUGGAAGGUAUGAAAAACAGAAUUGAUAAAUUUAGGGAAAAUGCGCUUGAAAGAUGAUAACGCAAUAGUUGAAGAUCUCAUUUUAUAGCUUCGAUGAAUUCAGGUAUGUUUUUAAAUAAUGUUUCCUAGAUGUUUGAAGACCGACAAAUGUUGAAAGAAGUAGCACUGUAGACAUUUGUCAUUCUUUGUUGACCUUCAAACAUCUAGGAACCUUUAUUUGAGAACAUCCCUGCAUUUAUCGAAGCUGUAGAAUGAGAUCCUCCACUAUUGGGUUAUUAUCUUUCAAACCCAUUUUCCCUGAAUUUAUCGAUUUUGUUUUUCAUGCAGUUUUGUCUUAACGGCUUUGGAAAAUGCUGCAGUUUUUACAGGAGAAUGUUUCUAAAGGCAUAUGUGUUUGUUUUGAAAAUCGAAAUUUUAAACAUUGUUUCGUGUUCAUAUUUUUCAUUUAUAUUGGUUUGGAACUAAAUGAUGUAUUAGAUAAUAUAUUUAUAAGAGUA